GAUAGGUAAGAGUUUACUUGGAGCCAUAGCCCUAGGCUGCCCGUGUCUACUUUUGAUAGAACCAUGCGCAACCCUGCAGUCAUAGAUCUUCUUUCUUUGUUCCUGACAGUCCAGUUCUUGGUCAGUGCUGUGCUGAACUUCUAGAAGCUGGUCUCUAGGUGUCUGUAAAGUACUCAGAAGUAGUGACUUUUAGAUGUAGGAAAACAGAUGGUCUGUUGAAACAAGUGUUACUGGGCAUAGACUACUGCUGCCCACUGUGUAAUUUUUUUCUCUUUAUCCCCUUAAAAGGGUCUUAUUGUGUAUCCUAGGGUGGUCUUGGACUCGUAUUUCCUCAACCUCUCCAGUGCUGAGAUUACAGGCAUAUGUCAUUACACUGGACUUCCUGCAUAUUCAAAUUUUUUGUUAGCAGCGAAACUUUUAUUCCAGACUUAUCUAGGAGAGCAGUACUCCUCUCUGAUACCUACUAGGUCUUGGUCAGUAUUUCUGUGAUCUUUAAAAGACCUCAUGUCUAUAUGGAUUAGAUCUAAGGAAGUAUUCUCAGUGUGUCUGACACAAAGGACUAAGCCUUCUCAGGGACCAAAACUGUAUUAUCAGAUCCUUAGCACAGACUUUCUAAGGACAUAGCCACAUUUUUCCUAUGUUUUAUGUGUAUUCACUGCUAGAUUCUGUAGUUGUUAAAAGGCUCCUUGACACACCAGUCACAUCAUAAGCCAGUUUACCACAUAGAAGGCCUAAAUUGUUUGUAUUUCUCAUUUACACAUGACAGUUGUCACUGUUGAAUUUUAAGGGUCUGUUAUUUAGUUCAUAAGUGACUUGUCACAUCUGGCAAGAUUCGUAAACUGUUUUAUCGAUUGAAGAAGAUUAAGAGUUAUAAGAAUAGCAAUGAGCAUCUGACCCAAUAUCACUACUCAUUUUUUAUCAUACACAUUUCUCAUGUACAAUUAAAUGCAGCAAAAGAAUAUUUUUAAAAGUAACAGCUGUUGUAUCAAAAGAUAGCUAUUUAAAAAUUGAUAUUAUGUAGAAAAAAAUGAUCAUGUAAAUAAACAUCUGUUUCAAAUGUACCCAAAAAUAAUUUAAGAGCAUAGUCAUAGGCCCAUGCAGUCAGGAAGGAUUUAUUUAUUUGUUUGUGUUUAAAGGUUUAUAUUUAUUUCAUGUCAUACGGGCGUUUUUCUGCAUAUAUGUAUGUGUACCACCCGCAUGCAGUGCCCACCAAGGCUGGAAGAGGUGGAAAGAUCCCUUGGAACUGGAGCUUCUGCCGUUGUGCUCCACCAAGAGGGUCCUGGGAACCCAACCUGAGCCCUCGGCGAAGCAGCACGUGCUUUUAAGCACUGAGCCAUCUCUCCAGUCCCAGAGGACUUUCAUUUUUCCCAAUUUUCUCCUGAUUUGUGAAAAUGUAUGUGAGUUUUUUUAACCUUUCUGUGCCUCGGUUUUUCUACCUCGAAAGUUGUAGGAAGGUUCUCCAAAACCGAUUCUAAACCGAGGAUACAUUCAGUAACACUCUGGGAACUGAAGGGAGGAGCAGUGUGCUCAGAACUGCUCUGGAAGGUUGCAACGUUGGAGUCUCAUCAAGACUGUGCUGUAGAGCACGUAACCUUGAACACCAAACAAGUAAGGGGAAUGCUGGGCACAAAGUUUGCAUGAUUCCGUAAGACGUUAACUUUGUUUUAAGGGUUUACAUAUUUUGUUGGAGAAGGAGGAAAUAAAACAUGGACUUCAAAAAAAAUAAUGGAAAGACCGGAUGGCAUGACGAGUUCCUGUGUUGGGCUGCGUUGGGCUGUGUGCUGUAUAUGUAACCUGUGUGUCCCAUCAAUUCUGUUUCGUUGAAUUUCUCAUGAGACAUGCUGAACUUCCUGCUCACCAGGGCACCUGAGCCCUCAUACUCAACUAUCUGAUGCCAGGCAAAUGUCAGGAACUCCCGAAACACUAAUGCCAAAGAGUCACCUUGACAAAUUCAGAAUGCUUCUUUUGUCAUAAUACCUUGCAUUUCACCUCAUCAGUGUUUUUGCACUUUACAAAAGUUUAAAGGUGUGGCAUUUCGGUUGUAAUCCUGGUUUUGCUUUUUAAAAGAAUAAUUAUUACUUCCUCAUGAAAUGAACAUAAUGAGAGAAACAGAUUAAAAAGAAUGCCAAAUGUUGGUUGCGUGAAAGCUUUUUUCACAUGAAUGUAGUAGGGGAAAAUGUUUCCAGUUAGUACACACACAUAUUUAUCACUGUCUAGGACUUGCUUAUAUUUUGCUUCAUAGAAGUAGUCAUAGCAUGUUAUAAAUGCCUUAUGUAGAUAAAAAGGCUCUUAAGUUUUACAAUAAUAUUUAUUAUUCUGUAUAUGUUUUAAAAUAAAGUAACAUUUCUAGCUGA
rnacentral:lncRNA from 1 species